ACGACGUGUUUGGUCUGUGCAAGGCGUUAUCGUCUUGCUUGGGGUUUGGGGGUUUAUCUGCAAUCUCAGUUAAACAGAUUUCACUGAAAUUGAGGUUUCAUUUCUCACUUUCCAUACACAGUUCAGCAAAAAAGCUUCAUUGAACUAAACCAUGACCUCGUCACUUAUUUCUUUGUAACCUUGUUUUUCAUCCAUGGACAUUCUCAAAAUUUCAAACCCUGCCAACUUUUCAAUCCCUUAUUUCUGCCACCCCAAAACCCUAAAGCCCAAAUUCCCACCAAACUAUAACAAACCCGCAUCCCCAUUUCGCAGAACCCCAUUCUCACUCUACCUGUCACGCUCUACGGCCGUAAAAUUUCAAACUUGGGCGCAUUCCGGCCGCCCCACCAAGCGCCGCAACUCCCUGAGGAAGAAGCUCCUCCGUGAUCACAAGGUAAUCCCUAAUCAGAUUCCCAACGACCCUCUUUCUGUUUCUGGUAAUGACGUUGAAGAGAGUGGUGGAGGGGUUCAGGGGGAUUCCGUUGUUGACAGUGUGGUUGAAGCUGAAAAAUCAAAGUCCAAGCUUUUGGGUGAAUCUGUUUUGUGGGAUAAGUUGGAGAGUUGGGUUGACCAGUACAAGAGAGAUAUUGAGUAUUGGGGGGUAGGGUCUGGUCCUGUGUUCACUGUUUAUGAAGAUUCCCUUGGAGGUGUCAAGAGGGUGUUUGUUGAUGAAGAAGAGAUUUUGAAAAGAAGCAAGGUUAGGAGGGAUGUAAUUGGGGACUUCCCUGAAGUAAGAAGUAAAAUUUUGAAUGCUAAGAACAUGGCAAGGGAGAUGGAGAGUGGGAACAAUGUGAUUGCAAGGAAUAGUUCUGUGGCUAAGUUUGUGGUUCAUGGUAAGGAGGGGGGUGGUUUUGUUAAGGCUGUCCAAGGUUUUGUUGCGAAGCCUCAAUUGCUUCCUAGGCUUUCCAGGGUUGGGAGGUUUGUGUUAUAUGUGUUGGUUGUUAUGUGGGUGGUGAAGAAGUUAUUUGCUUUUGGAGAAGGAGAUAAGGAGGUGGAGUAUACAGCACUGGAGAAGGAAAUGAUGAGGAGGAAGGUGAAGGCGAGAAAGGAGAAAGAAAAGUUGAUGAAGGGUGCUGUUGAAGUUAUUGUUGAACCUUCGGAGACACCGGUGGUGGACAUAAAAAGGCCUAAGUUAGAUAAGGAACAACUAAGGAAUAAUAUUUUGAAAGCUAAGGGAUCUUCUGAUAAACUGGUAGUAGGUGAUUCGUCUGAUAAAAUAAAAAAAACUAUAUCCAUGGAGAUGGAUUAUAAAGUUCAAGAAAUAAAAGAAAUGGCUAGGCAGGCACGGAAAAUUGAGGGAAGAGACAAUGUUGUAGUUAACAAGGAUUUGGAAAUGGACGACUCGGUGAUUGGGAAAUCAUCUGAUGAUAAUGAAUUCAUAAAAAGGAAGAGCGAACAAGAUGACAACUUAAGUGAUAAUCAAAUUGAAGUUAUGAGGGAAACGGCAGAUAGUAAUGCCAUUCUGCAAUCAACUUCUAUUGAUGUCCCAGAGAACAUUGAUAAUUCAGUCCUGCAUGAGGUAGUUCCUGCAGAUGAAGAUAGUGUACAUGCUUCGGAUGUCAUAGUUUCUGGUGAUAAGGAAACCAAGAAACAAGAAAUAGAAUUUUCUGAAAAUAAUGUGCACCUGAAGGAUAAAGAAAAUGACAAUCCCUUAGGUACUCGUAUUAAUGGCUCAUCUAUGACAAAUGAAAAUUCUGUGAAGAAGAAACGCAGGAUCAUACGGUCUGUUAAGGAAGCCAGGGAUUAUCUUUCGUCAAAACAUGACAAACAGAAUCCCAGUGCUGGCGCCGUAUCUAAACUAGAUUCCGUGAAAGAAACUAUUACUGAUUUGAAGUCUUCAAGUGUUAUUGAUUUUAAGGACCAGAAAAGCCAGAACUUGAAGAUGAACACAACUGGAUCAAGAAGUGACACAUCGAAUGGAACAUUGAAUUCUAAGCCUGUUAUAAAUGAUCAUGGAACAUUGGAUUCUAAGUCUUCAAGUGUCAUUGAUUUUACGGAUCAGAAGAGCCAGAACUUGAAGAUGAACACAACUGGAUCAAGAAGUGACACAUUGAAUGGAACAUUGGAUUCUAAGCCUGUAAUAAAUGAUCAUGGAAGAUUGGAUUCUAAGUCUUCAAGCGUUAAUGAUUUUACGGACCAGAAGAGCCAGAACUUGAAGAGGAACACAACUGAAUCAAGAUGUGACACAUUGAAUGGAAGAUUGGAUUCUAAGCCUGUAAUAAAUGAUCAUGAGGAUUCUGCUCUGAACGAUAAGGAAAUCCCCAUAAAGAAUGACUACAAAGAUUCUGGGGUUGAACCUGGCGCAGGAAACCAUCAAAAGUCUGUGACCACUUUUGAAAGUGGAGUUAAUGGCACUAGUACAACAAAUGGGAAACCAGAAAACUGGCCAGAGAAAAGCCUUCUCGAAGUUGAGCAAAUCAUUAGUGAUGGUUUAAAUGGAUUAUCAGAUUCUAAGCCUUCCACAAAACCUAUUGAAGAUUCUAAUCCAAAGAAUAAGGAAUUUAGCCCAAUGAAGGAUGACACCACUUUAGACCAUAAAACCAACAGCAUCAGUACAGAGACAAGGCUACCUUUAAUGCCAGAGAAUGGUACUUUAAAUGGAUUAUCAGAUUCUAAGCCUGCCACAAAUCCUAUUGAAGUUUCUGAUCAGAAGAAUAAGGAAUUAGGCACAACAGAGGAUGACUACCUCAAAGUUUCUGGUGUUGAACCUGAAAUAAGAAACCAUCUUAAUUCAGGUACCACUUUAGAUGAUGAAGUUAAUGACAUUAGUACAGAGACAAAGGUGUCUGAAAAGACUGAAAACUGGCUUGAGAAAAACUUCCAUGAAGUUGAGCCCAUAGUGAAGCAAAUUAGAGCAGGAUUUAGAAAUAACUACAUGGCUGCAAAAGAGGGAGUCGAUCAACCUCUAGAUAUACCCACUGAGAUGGAAUCACUUAGAGGUGUUGGAGAUGGUGGAGAACUUGACUGGAUGCAAGAUGAUCAUCUUAGAGAUAUAGUCUUUCGAGUCCGCGAGAAUGAGCUGUCUGGAAGGGAUCCAUUUUAUUUGAUGAGUGAUGAAGAUAAGGACACAUUUUUCAGAGGUCUUGAAAAAAAAGUGGAGAAAGAAAAUAUGAAACUUUCUCACGUACAUGAAUGGCUCCAUUCAAAUAUUGAAAAUCUUGAUUACGGAGCAGGUGGCAUUAGCAUAUAUGACCCACCGGAGAAAAUCAUACCACGCUGGAAAGGGCCUGCUGUAGAGAAAAUUCCCGAGUUUCUUAAUGAAUUCCUUGAUGAAAGAAAGACAGGUUCCACCAGAAACAUGAAUUCAGUGAAGAAGGAUGAGGGUGGCUUUGCUAUAACAUCUUCGGAUUCCUCUUCAGAAGACAAGUUUGAUGGCCCUGCAGCGCCGACCAAGAAGUUGAAAAAUCCAAAGACUAUUAUUGAGGGAAGUGAUGGUUCUGUUAAAGCUGGCAAAAAAUCAGGGAAGGAAUAUUGGCAGCACACGAAGAAAUGGUCCCAAGGAUUUAUAGACUCUUACAAUGAUGAGACAGAUCCAGAUGUAAAGUCCAUAAUGAAGGAUAUGGGGAAGGAUUUGGAUCGCUGGAUCACUGAAAAAGAAAUAAAGGAAGCAGCUGAACUAAUGGACAAACUCCCCGAUAGGAAUAAGAGUUUCAUGGAAAAGAAACUCAACAAGGUUAAAAGAGAGAUGGAGUUGUUUGGCCCGCAAGCAGUGGUUAGCAAAUAUCGUGAAUAUGCAGACGAUGACGAGGAAGAUUACUUAUGGUGGUUAGAUCUUCCACACAUAUUGUGUAUCGAAUUGUACACAGUUGAGGAGGGAGAGCAGAAAGUAGGACUGUAUUCGUUGGAGAUGGCAGGAGAUCUUGAAUUAGAACCUAAGCCACAUCAUGUGAUUGCUUUCCAAGAUCCUAAUGACUGCAAAAACCUUUGUUACAUAAUUCAGGCUCACAUGGAAAUGCUGGGAAAUGGUCAUGCCUUCGUUGUUGCACGACCUCCUAAGGAUGCUUUUCGAGAGGCUAAAGCAAAUGGGUUUGGUGUUACCGUCAUCAAGAAAGGUGAACUUCAGCUCAAUAUAGACCAACCACUCGAAGAAGUGGAUGAACUGAUUACAGAGAUUGGCAGCAAAAUGUAUCAUGAUAUGAUGAUGAAAGAGCGGUCUGUGGACAUUAACACAUUAAUGAAAGGAGUUUUUGGUUUUAAUGAUCGCUCCAUCAAGAGGUUAAAGAAGAAGUUGAAGAAAUCCAGAAAGGGGUGAUGGCUCUGAAACUUUCAGCAAUUUGACCAGUUGAAGACAGUGAAGAGUCCUCCACCUAAACAUUGAACACGAACACAGAAAAACCUUUCACACAAUAAGGGAUUUUUCUUGCUUCGAGAACAAUACUUUUGACCAGAUUUUCCUUCUCACGAGGGGAUGGAGAGAACACAUCAUCAGUAAGAUGUGGUGGUGGCUGCGGAUCCUUUUUAAAAGCAGAAAUGCUGAUUAACGUGAAAUGAUUUCGUCAAAGUUGAAUAACUCUGUCAACUUUGCCAACUAUGUUUUCUGUCAAAAGCCUAUUUAUAUUUUUCUAAUUGUAAUUAAUAUUUUAUUUUUAAAAUGGCAUUGAUGCUCGUGUCUCUUCUCAUUUGGUGCAGUUUUGUAUUUCUGAUUUGAAAGCUAGACUGAAUGUAGUUUGUGCAUACAGCUUUAAGUCCUAAUUAAUUAAAAUUAAAUGAAAAAA